GGGGAAGCACUGUAGCUCUGUGGUGGUGGAUCUGCUUGGCAUGCAGAAGGUCACAGGUUCGAUUCCUGGCAUCUCCA